CCGUUAACCAACUAUCUACCUGUCAGCCCUGGGUUUUUAAAACUUGAGGUAUGCGUGUGGGCUUUUUUUUUUUUUUUUACUGCAACACUAACCGGCUUGUGAAGGAUUGACUCUCUGACCGCCAGAUAGCUUGGCGCGUGUGCACGCGCACAAAAACCUUAAAAAAAAAAAAAAAAGCCUACCUUAAGCAAUUUCAAGAGAGCAGCCCUUAAAUACUACUUGCAUAAUGGUAGAGCCUGAAUUAAAUAUCCACAUGUCUGCGGACAUCUCCGUAUCUCCACGAGCAUCACCAGCCUUCUCUGCACUGAUGGACAGGUAUUUACAAACUGCAAGUUUAGACAGGGAUGUUCACGGGCAUGUCUUACUGUCAGCGAUACAUACUUGCUCUACUAAACAGACACUAGGACUCCUGACCACAGCUGUCGUUUGUCCACUGGCCUGCCAGCACCAACGCCCAUUUCUUAAGUAUCACACGUGAGCUGGGUUCAUUGUUAGCAGCUGGACCUCCAAAGCAGAACAGCGAACUUAAGCUCACAAUAAAUGGAACGACUUCUUUUACUCUGUAAAAGAAACUACAGAUUCAGCUGGAAAGAACAGGGGAAGAAUCUGUGACAUUCAUCAUGGCUCCAGGCAAAGCCUCGACUUUUGUCAUCCAAGAAUCCCAGUUUGCUCUGUUUUCUGGGGCCCCACCUCCAGACCCUAGCCUCCAAUCUUCAGUUAUGUACACUAAAAGGAGGCAGAGAACUGCAGAGCUGUGCAACUUCCUUGAAGACAGAAAGCAACCAAGACACUGCAUUCACUCUCCAUGUUCACUUCCCAUUUGCUGACAGCCACGUCGAUGUCGAAGCAGAUCUGGAGUAAAGUUCGCAAGUGUGGUCCCCAGACUAAAACCCUGGGGCCUUCUGUUAUUAGAGAUGAAGAAGAGAAUGGAUUCUAGGGAUCAGAGCACAGGAUAAGGUGUGUUACCUAAAGGGCAGGAUUAAGGGGGUGUUCACGCUCGGGUUUUCCCUUGCUGCUGAAGCAUGAAGGUGUUUGUUGCAUGCAGGGUACCUCCCUUGACCUUCUCUAGUUUUGCCCUGGCUGUGGGCUAGUAGCUGCCUUGGUGGCCCUUUAGUUGUAAAGGAGCAUGUAACACUUAAUUCACAGUCUGACUCGGGGUCCAUGCACUGGGGAGGAAGCACUUAACCCCAAAGAAAUUUGAGCUGGUACAAAUAGAAUAAAUAUAAGGUAGGUAACCAGAAAAAAAUAAGAUUGAUUACAAAUAAAUUUAUGAUUUCAAAAUUUAGAACCUAGCACCAUGGGUUUGAGAAAAGUUCUGUAAUUACAAUUAUAGCUUCCCGUAUUUUUUAAAUACUAGAUUCUUUUUUAAAAAGUUCUUUCAUGAGUCUUUGAGACUCAAUGUAUUAUUGUAUUCACCAGGUUUAAGCACACAGUCCCCUGUAUGGACACUCACACUAUGAUGGAGUUUAUGGAGCUAGUACAUGGGCACGGGCAUGGUGACAGGUGGCUUUCAUUAGUGUCACUGGAUUUGUGCUGAUUCUGCAAAAGAAAGGCAAUUCAGCAACAACCAAAGAUUACAUCAAGAGCCGGUGAGAUAAGAGCAGAUAAACCGAAAACAUAAAUAACUAAUUUGAUAAAUUUAAAACUGCUGUGUUUAUCUAGAGGUCAUUUUAGUGUCUAGAAUGUAUGGAAGAACCUAGUAGUUUAUGCUUAAUGUUGCCAGUAUUCCAGGUGCCCUUCCUGUGCCCUGGGUAGAGUUGAUUACAAUUCCAAGAGUGCUUAAUAUUCUAAUCAAAGAUUUCUAUUUUUAUUGUAAUUAAAAAUUUAAAUUUAUUUAUUUUAUCUGUAUAGGUAUUUUGUCAGCAUGUAUGUGUGUGCCUGGUGUCCACAGAGCUGAGAAGUGGCCCUGGGAUCCCCUGGGCCUGGAGUAACAGACAGUUGUGAGCCAUGUGUGUGCUGGGAGCCAAACAUGGGUCCUCAAGAGCAGCCAGUGCUCUUAACUACUGACCCAUGUCUCCAGCCACGAGGAGUUCCGUCUUAAGACAAAACAGAAAUCACAACAUAAAACAUAUACUAUGCUGAGGAGGAGAAGUGUUUUAGAUUCUGAGAGGUAAAGUAAUUAGUAACAACAUGUAAACAUCUGUGAACCUGGAUAGAAAGAGUAGCAUCAAAGUGAACAAACCCGGAAUUGCGAGACGGCUCCUUUGGAAGCCAUGCUAAUGUGAAGAUCUACUUGAGUUUGAAUCCUCAGAAUCUGUGUGGAAGAGUUGGGCAUAGUAAUUCAAGAGUCUUCAACCCCCACGCUCCUGGGGAGAGGGGGAGUAAAGACAAGAUACGAGAAUUCCUAGAAGCUUGGCAGCCAGUUAGGCUGGCACAUACAUCAGGAGAGCAACAGAGUCCCUGUUAAACAAGACUGAAGAUGACAGACCCCCAAGGCUGUCCUCUGACCCCCCACAGGAACACUAUGUAUGUGUCUACAUUCACACAGAUGAGUGUGCACCUAGUGUGGUUGGUGGUGCAAGCAGUUAAUCCCAACACUUGGGAGGCAAAGGCAGGUGAGUCUCUGUGAGUUGGAGGCCAGCCUGGGCUAAGUAGCAAGUUCGAGGCUAGUUGGGGCAAUGUAGUGAAACCUAGUCUCAGUCAAUCAAAUGUAACAAAAGAACGUGUACUUGCAAUCACCACACACUGCAGACAGUACUAAUCAUUCUACAUAUUUUUUAAGGUCUUAACUGCAAGCAUCUUUCAUAUAUUGUAUCAAUAACUCUCAGAAGGAAGGGACCUUCAUUUUCUCAUGUUUCUGAUUGCUUAAUGGAAUUAUCACAACACAUACACACACAGAUGAACAUAGACACACGUGGACUCAUACACACAUGCACGUAUAUUCAAAUAUUUUAGACAAGAAUUUCAGAAAGUUUAUCAGGAAAAAUUUUCCCAGGUUAUUAAAAAAAAAGCUAUUUCAGAGAGGUUGAAAAUGGGCAAGAGUAGCUAGCUAUAACACACCCACCAGAGAAUUCUGUCCAAUUGUGAAUUGCAAUUGGGUGAGGUAAAAAACUUUUCCUCUCUCGUUGCCAUCUAUGAGACUUUACAAGCUUGUCGGAGGCCUUCUGUGGUUGCAGUUAAUCCAUUUUAUCUGUUAACAUUUCUUAAUGGGAAUAAAAGUAACAUAAAGGGAGGCUCUGAAGAGGGUUUAAACACUUAGUACUGGAAACUCAUUUAGCAUCUUUCUAAUUGCCGGCAUUCUCGUCUCUAUUCUCAGCCCACUUAAUUCAUUUGUGGGUCCCCGUUGACAGGCUAGCGCAUCUACUGGGAGCCCUUGGUGGAGGGCCUUAGUCUGCACCACCGUUCUGCUUCCUAUAAUGAGAGGGCUGAGCAGGCAGGACUCGUUAGGCGUCUUUCUCAUCUGCUGGGACCUUAAUUAUUCAGCAGUUGGUUGGCUCUUUGAGGACUAGGCAGCUUUCAUUUCCACUCUCUCGCCCCCGCAGAUGCCAGCUUUGCCGCUGCACAGAUCGUUAGCACAUCUGCCGAGGGCAGUUGGGGACAGAGCCGCAUGGUGGAUCCCAUUGUCCACUCGUUUGCUACGUCUCACCUCACUUAAGAAAACCUUGAAGGGCAGAGGGGAUUGACGCACACAAGUGUAAGUCACCGGCUGGGGGUUUUAAGAUCCCCAUUAGCCAUGCUAUUUCUUGUUCUUCAAAAACGAAAAUGUCUGCACACGUUCUUGAAGUGUUAAAAUAGGGACAUAGUCGUGGCCAUGUAACAAUGUAAUGGAUGCCGCUCUAUUAUCCUACAGAAAAUCCCACCAAUUCCAUGCUCUAUAGAAGUUUGUGAAACCCUCUCCCCUUUGUUUCUCUUGACCUUGAUUUUUUUUUUCUCAAGAGGACAGGUAAGAUUUUCUGUAACUGUUAUUCCAUUGGGUGAUUUUUUUUUUUCGGUUUACUUACAUGUACACACAAAAACAUUUCCAACUCAGGACAUAAUAAAUCUACAGUGAAGAACUUGGGAAAGGAAGACACAGGGAAAAGAAUUAAACAAGAGAAAAAUGAAUGUAAUGCUUUCUUUGAGAUGUAUCUUAUAUCAAAAUUUUCUUUCAGAAGUUGAAGAGUAAGUAAAAUUUUAUUUUCUCUGUAUUGUUGAAUGAACCUAGGGCCUCCCUCAUUUUAGGCAAGUUUCAGGGGUUCUGCUGCGGUGACAAAACCCCAUGACCAAAAGCAGCUUGGAGAAGAAAGGCUUCCUUUCAUCUUGCAGUUUUUAGUCCAUCAUCUAGGAAAGCCAGGGCAGGAACUCAAGACAGGAACAGAAGCAAUGGCCGUGGAGGAGUGCUGCUUGCUGGCUCGCUUUCCGUGGCUUGCUGUCUGUUUUCUUACAGCAUCCAGGACAACCUGCCAAGGGUCACACUGCUCAUGAGCAGGGACAAGCCACACCAAUCAUCAAUCCAGAAAAUGCUCUGUAGGCUUACCCAAAGGCCGAUGUGGUUCUUACUUCUUCCUGUGUGGUUCUAGCUUUUGUCAAAUUGCCGUUAAAAUCUAGCUGCCACAGUCAGCUGGCUGCCACUGCGCUAUACCCAUUCCGUAUUCACUUUCUAUUUUGAAACAGGUCUCACUAAGUUGGCUGGAAGUGAACUCUCCAAGCUGAAACAAGCCUGUUUGCAACCCUCAUGCCUCAGCCUCCUCAGAUCCAGGCUACAAUGACAAUCCCAGACCACUAGACCCAGCUCAAGUGAGGAAUUACGCUUCACAUUGUGAUAAGUAGCUAAUUUAAUACAGAACCUAAUGCUACCGUUUGUUAUUUUAGCAUGCAUUAUCAAUAGUAGCUAAUAUAAUAAACUGUCCUUUUAUAAACAACUAUUUUAAAAGAACUAGGAAAUCACAGGGGAAAUAGCAUCUCAUGUUACAAAAUGGAGGCAUGGACCAUACCUGAGUGAGGAUAUCAGAAAUUAUAGGCCGGAUAUGGCGGUGCCUGCCCAGCUCUCAGGACAUUGAGGUAGAGUUGGAAGUUGAAGGCCACGCUGGGCUAUAUGAGGAUAUCCUAGCUCAAAAAUCUAAAACAAUAACAACAAAGCCUAAUUUUCUAAGAAUAAUUUCCUUCGAAUAAUUCAUACAGAAUCAUUGAAAAAUGUUCAAAAUCUUCAACAACGGUGUCGGUGGAGGGGUCAAAUGAACACAGCACACCAUUACAAUGGAAUUUUCCGGUAAGUGUUCACGGCCAAGAAAUGACUUCAUGAUGAUGUGAGUGAAAAAGAACAAAGCCAAAACUUCUUCGUGACUCCAGUUUAGCAGUUCCAGCCUCCAGUGGAGAGAAUGCAUGCCUAGACACACACACAUACACACGCGUGUGCACACACAACACUCACACAUUCAUGCAUGCACGUGCACACACAGACACGCACCACAGAAACAGUGAGAGAAAGUCAACACCAAUGAAGAGUUAACUAACAGGGAUUAUAUCUAGAACAUGGUAUUAAACAAUUCUCUGUGUUUUUCUUAUUUUGUGUAUUUUGCAUAAUAAUUGCUUCUUAUAUUUAAAAGGUAUAACAACACUGAUAAAAUCCUCUUCUCAUUCUGCAUAUUUUUAUGUAUGAAUGCAUGCACAUGUUAACGCCUGCUGCAGAGAUUUGGUCAUAUAUCUUCCAGAGAACUAAAUUUCCUUGAAGAAGGAAGUCUUGUUUUUCCUAGCACACAGUGUCAAAAAGCGUUUCUUAACUUUCACACCUUCAUGAAACACUCAGAAAAAUUCACAAUUCGCCGAGCACCCAGCUGUCAGAGCACGUGUCCCAUAUUCCAAGUGUUAACGUUUGCCACACUUUUCUGUCGUUUACCAUCUGUCAAUAUCUGUCUGUCUGUCUGUCUGCUACUGGUCUGAACACUCACUGCUUCUGUGAGUUCACCUUUUAGACUCCACCUAUGAGAUCAUACUGUCUUUACCUUGUUUCACUUAUCACAGUGUACUCUGAAGUCUGUCUGUCUACGCUGUUGCAGACGUCAUAUGCUCUUAUUCCCUAACUUGCCUUGUGUGACUGCCUUCUGGCCAAGCAACUGCCAUCUUGGGGUGUCUAUCUGCCUCCCCCCACUUUACAAAAGAUCAUCUCAACUGGGUGUUGAUAGUGUGCACCCCCACAUAGAGGGGCAAUAAGGCGUGAGACUCUUACCUGAGAACCCAGCCACUCCCUCCCACCCAGCACCACUGUGUGUGGUCUGGGGAAGGCAAUGGAGUGUAUAGAGACCUAGGAAGACUAGAGCUGGGGCUGUAUCUAUGCAACUAGGGAGUAGCUCUCUGUUUGGUAAAUUCUUCCAGGUACGGCCAGUUGGAAAAGGAGUGCCCAUACCCCCUGCAAGUAGCCUCCCACCCUAGGCUCUAUAAAGAAGCCUAAUAAAUUCACUGGCUGCCCAGAGCGAACUUUGAUGGAAUCUUGCCAUGGUUUAUAGUAGCAACCCUGGGAGGAGGGAUAGACAUUGAUAGAUAUUCUUCCUUUGGGAAGGAAUUUUAGCAACAUAAGUAUUUAAAAUUUUCUGGUUCUUCUAAAGUUAUCACAGCUAUUACCUACAAGUUUGGAUAUUUAAAUUUAUUUUGUGCAAUUUUAAAUAUCAACUUUCUAUGUUGUUGUAGGUCUUUUUGUUCUUGUGUCUUCUUAACUGCAUUUUGAAAUAAUUAAUCGGUAAUGUUUUGUAAGGUUGUGUGAUGUGCACUAAUCCCUGAAGAUCAACAAUCACAUUCUUUGAUUUCUACCAUUUCAGAAUCAUUUUAAAAAUAUAAUUAUUUCUUUAUGUCUUUAUUUUUGUUUUUUUGGAUUUUGUGUGUCUGGUUGUUUCACCUACAGGGUUGUCUGUACACCACACAUGUGCAGUGUCCCCAGUGGCCAGAAGAGGGCGUCAGAUCCCUUGUGAAUGGAGUAAAAGAUGGUUGUGAGCUGCCCCCAGGUCCUCUGAAGAGCAGCCAGUGCUCUUAACCACAGAGCCAUCACUGCCCCUGUGGUUACUUUAACUCUUAAAUUACGCAGGUUUGUAGUUUGUCAUUCCAAACACAAUUUUACGUCUUUGUUUCAUGGUUUCUUAACUUUGCAUUUUGUAAGAACUAGACUUAUUGGUGAUCUAUUUGUAAGGUUUUCUGGUGUAUACAAAUCCCUGGAAGCCCAAUACCCAGAUUUUUCGAUUUCUGUCAUUCCAGAAAACCAUGUAGAUCAUGCAUCAUUGCUUACCUCGAGUCUCAGUGUCUUUCUCUGUGCAAAGAUCAAUGUCCCACAAAGCCACAUCACGACCAUCAAACUAAAGAAGCGAGCAUGAAUUAGAUCAGCAUCACUGUCUGUCUAACUACAGGUUCCACUCAAAUAGCAGCUAUCCGAGUAGUGUCCACUGUGAGUCAUGCGGCUGGACCAUGGCAGUCCAUCAGGAAUCAUGUGAUAUAGUUAUUUUACAUGCUGCUUGGGUCCCUUUCUUGGGUCCCUCGAAACCUUUUAUCAGUCUCUCUCUCUGGUUCCUGAUUGGGUUAAAUGAGAUAAUAUAUAUUGUUCUUUCACCACUGGCAAUGACGAAUUAGAAAUUAUUUUGUAAGAAGCCCCCAGUAGGGGCUGGAGAAAAGGCUAAAAUCAUUGGCUGCUCUCUCAGAGGACACAGGUUCAAUCCCCAGCACCCACAUGGAAGUUCGCAACUGUCUGUAACUCCAGUUCCAGGGAAUCUGGCACCCUCGUGCAUAUGAGCUGGCAAAAUACAAAUACACAUAAAAUAAUAAUAAAUAAAUAUUUUUUAAAAAAUGUUUUCAGCUUGGUUUUGUCUAAUGCUUCCUCAUGCUUUAUGGUUUUCUAAACAAAAUAACAAAAAUCAACAAUAUAAUGUAAGCACUGUUGUGGUCUCUUUGGAGCAUUGGAACAAGACCUGUCUGAUGUCACUUUGUCUUUUUCCCUUUGUUUUCAAACAGGGUCUUAUGUCUACGAGGCUAGCCUCAAACAUCCUGUCCAGUCAGUUUUCCACAGUGGAGCACAAUGCCACACUGGGUUCAAGUGGUGCUGAGGUCACGGGCACACCAGCCGAGGCCUCUACCAGCUGGGCAACUUCCUGAGCCCCAUCCGUUUGCCUUUUAUCUCAUGCUAUUAAUGUUGAAAACUUGGUUAAGAUGGCAUAUUUCAGUUUGUUCACUUUAAAAUAAAUCACAAGCAUGCUAUCGUUGAUCAAUAAGCAAUUAAAAAUGAUCCGAAACAGUAAACAUCCCAUUCCUCAUCAACUUGAAAGCACCAGGCUUUGCAUUUUUAAUUAUUCUUGUCCAUGCCAAUCAUUACUGUAAUUGUUGCAUUUUGCCAGCACUUUGUAGAGCACAGCAUUUCACAACAAAAUGGAAACUUUCUUGCCUGCCAAUCCACUAGUGUCCCCACGGACUGACUCUUCCACCAGCUCGCUGGAUAGCCUACUUUCAGCUCUGUCUUCUAGUCACCUUUCUGACUCAGCAUGUUCUCAGCUUUCCCAGUCAUUGGGAACUGCUUGAGACCAAUUUGAGUGGACAAGCUGAAGCCUUGCCAGCACUAGGGAGGAGCAGCUUCACUGAACCGGAUUCAGCCUCUCUGUUCAUGUGGCCCCAUUAUUAUGGUCCCUUGAGCCUCUCUAUCCCAGAAUGGUAUUCUUGCUUUGGUGAUGGAGCUGGUCGUUUCUUCAAGAAGUCCUGCUUUCUCUUGCUGUGGAAUGAUUUCUAGAAAACUAAGUCUGGCCAGAUGUGGUAGUACAUGCUUUAAUCCCAGCACUUGGGAGGUGGAGACAAGACCCCUAUUGGUUUGAGGCCAGCCUGGUCUACAUAGCAAGAGCCUGUCUCAGAAAACAAGGAAACAAAAACAGAACAAAACUUAAACCUGGGCACGAGCUGUGUUCAUAGUUGAGAAGAUUUCUUUACUUCUUGGGCCUCCCAAGGACUGCACUAGGAAAUUGGAAAUUUUGGUGUGUGUGUGUGUGUGUGUGUGUGUGUGUGUACACAGCUAGCUAUGCCUACAACCACACACACACACACACACACAACUGUUUCUUUCACUAUAUCUAUUUCUACUUACAUACUGAUCUACUAUGAGUUACCAUUUCCUUAAAGCAGCAUGCUCACGAGCUUCCUCCCAUUCCAGUCAAACAGCAUGGAAUGUUUCCCAGCAUUUCUUCCCCCACAUUGUGUUUCUUUUCCUCACAGCUGUCAAUUCCAGUGUUCUCUGGGAGUAGCUAAAUUACUGGGCCUCACAACUUACAGUCUCAUCUCCAUGAAAGAGAAAGGGAGUUGGGGAGAUGGCACAGCAGGUGAAGUAGUUGUCGUACAAGCCUGAGGACCAGUGUUUGGAUCCCUAGAGCCCACACAAAUGCUGGGUCUGCUUGUGUCUAGCCUGGGCUUGUUUGUGUCUGGCGUAGGUCUGUUUGUAUCUAGCCUGGGCCUGUUUGUGUCCAGCCUGUGCCUGCUUGUUUUGUGUCUAGCCUGGGCCUGUAGGUCUGCUUGUGUCCAGGCUGCAAUCCCAGCACUGGAGAGGCAGAAUGGGAUCACCUGAGCAGACUGGUGAGGGAGGCUAAUUGAACCUGAGAGUUCCGGGCUCAAGUGAGAUCUGGCCUCAUAUACACGACUGAGCGCUUCUGAAGAAGACACCACAUAUACCACUCUGGCAGCCACACACACAUUUGCAUGUGCGUAUGCAUCAGUACACGUGUGUUCCCCCACCGUGUGAACAGGCACAUACAUAUGUAUACCCCCCAAAAAUUAAUAGUAACUUUCAGUCGUUUGGUUAAGUUUCUGCUGGCCAGGUUCCUCUCAUUAUAGAUGAAGCGCUUCUCCCAAUAUACUGUGGUUGACUCUGAUGGUGAAUGAUCUUUUUCUUGUCAGUAUUUUAACCCCAUGGUCUGAGAGGCCAUGGAUGAUCCUUUCCUAUGUGUUGUGUGUAGGUGGUUGGAAAGCAGUGAUUCACUAACUCUCAAUCCCUCCACAGCCAUCACCUACUAAUUUUCUUUGGUUUGUUUGCUGCGUGGGACAGGGCCCACCUUUAAUGCCAGGAUUCUGGGAGGCAGAGGCAGGCCAAUCUCUGUGAGUCUGAAGCCAUCCUACUCUAUAUAACGGGUUCUACGCCAGCCAGGAUUACAUAGUAAGACCCUGUCUCCAUGUAAGAACAAGAACGGCGUCUCCCCACCCUUCUCUCUUUUUAGUACUUUUGUAAAUUUUUGGGCUGCUUUCACAGUUUCGGUAUAUCAGCACAAAGAAGGAUCAUGCACAAAGCUCUCUGCUCCAGCAUCUCUCACUUCCGUACAAAGCUAUACACGCACAGUUUCAGGAAUGCAAUAACUCAUACAAGGGAGUACUCGUAGGGCGUUAAGGGGGAACUCAGAGGAUCUGGAGAGCCACUUGUGCUGCUGUGACAUCAGCUUCUGAGGACGGGAAUGCAGCAUCCCAUCCAUGGGCUACAGCGUAGUUUACCAAUACGCCCGUCAGCAGAAGAGAUGUCUGAAGGGACCCCUUAAUUUGGCACAGCAAGUGUUAUCUAUUUUUGCACCAAUGAACCACAUCUUGACACUAGACUCAGUGAUGUACUUUGAAAAGAAUGUAUAGGUCACGACCAGUGUGGCUGUCUGAGAAAGACUGUGGCUAUAUUUUACAGGAACAGCCCAGGAGAGGAUCAUAUUUUCCAUGCUUUCCUCCACAGAUGUCUCCGUAUUUUUGUUUUUGCUUUUUCUUUUUUUUUUAAGAGGAUCGUAGCAUAGAUUCAACUAUAUUUCAUCACUCGUCAAAGAAAUCAGACCAAGUUCAGAAUCAGAGACGCAGAGACCAGGUGCUCUGGCAUUCUGGCUUUGGUUUUUUCUUCGUUCAUGCAGUCACAUUGCCGUGGGCCUGUGUGAGGAGAGCAGCGAUCCUGUGACCACCGCUGCCUGCUCCUGUGUCUGCCGCCACCGUGGAGGGGCUAGGUGGUCGGGAAGGGCGAGGAAUAGUCUCUCCCAGCUCUCAGUGAACUGCGUGCCAUCAACGCCACCAAGUCCAGUGUCCUCCCGAUAGACAUCUACCUAGCGAAGGUUGCAAGUUGAUCAUAUAAGAUGAAAUCUAUUUAUCACUGCCGGGGUUUGACCCAGUGAUGGCACUGUUAGUACCCAAACGUCAUACAACAAAGAACACACUUCUAAGUCAUUGGCCGAAAGAGGGCUUGAUGAGUUCUCAGUUAAUUUUUAUUCAAGUAUUUAUGAUCAGUGCUUUCCAAAAUAAAAAAAAAAAGUCAUUUUAUAUCAUUGUAUAGGAUACUCUUCUUAACUGUGUAGAGACAUGGUUUGGGUUAAAUUAUUGCACGUUUAUGUUCAUUUCCUAUUGUCUUUCCCCACUAUGGUAUUAGAACACGGAUUUAACACUUGUUUUUUGGUUGUUGUUGUUGUUUUGACAUGUGUGAUUUGUGCUUUUUUCUUGCUAAUUCCAGUUUAUUGAAAUCCUUAACAAACUUCUCCUCAUGCCUCGUUGUUCUGUGAACCAGACCUCAUAAAUACAUCACCUGACGUCUCGCAGGCAGAUGCUUGAUAACGUGAAGAAACGCAUUCCCGCUGCUCAGUGCUCCUAUGCUGGGAACACGAGGAUUCUACUCAGCUGCGAUUCCAACAGACUAGGGGACUGCAAUGUCACUGCGGUUAACAGCAAAACAUCGCUAUGACAUUAUCAAAGAAAUAAAAAAAAUUAUU